AAGUCGUAACAAGGUAACCGUAGGUGAACCUGCGGUUGGAUCAUUACCAAAUGAUGCCUGUCUGUCUGUACUCCUGCCCUCGGGUGGUCGAGUUCAGGCGGGCUGGCCAACUACACCUGUGCACUAUGCUGUUUUUUGGGUAGUCGGUGCAAACUGGCUGCCCAGCCAUAUAAACACCUUUAAUUUACGCUGAACAUGAAUAAAAAUCAUAAACAACUUUUGACAACGGAUCUCUUGGCUCUC
rnacentral:misc_RNA from 1 species